AGCGGCGGACGGGUGAGGAAUGUAUCGGAACGUGCCCAGUCGUGGGGGAUAACACAGCGAAAGUUGUGCUAAUACCGCAUACGCCCUGAGGGGGAAAGUGGGGGACCGCAAGGCCUCACGCGAUUGGAGCGGCCGAUACCCGAUUAGCUAGUUGGUGAGGUAAAGGCUCACCAAGGCGACGAUCGGGAGCUGGUCUUAGAGGACGAUCAGCCACACUGGAACUGAGACACGGUCCAGACUCCUACGGGAGGCAGCAGUGGGGAAUAUUGGACAAUGGGGGCAACCCUGAUCCAGCCAUGCCGCGUGAGUGAAGAAGGCCUUCGGGUUGUAAAGCUCUUUGAGCGGGGAGGAAGGUUCGUUAUUUAAUAAAUAGCGGAAUUGACGUUACCUGCAGAACAAGCACCGGCUGACUCUGUGCCAGCAGCCGCGGUAAUACAGAGGGUGCAAGCGUUAAUCGGAAUUACUGGGCGUAAAGCGUGCGUAGGCGGUUGUUUAGGUUGGAUGUGAAAUCCCCGGGCUUAACCUGGGAACUGCAUUCAAGACUGGAUAACUAGAGUCUGGGAGAGGGUGGUGGAAUUUCCGGUGUAGCGGUGAAAUGCGUAGAUAUCGGAAGGAACAUCAGUGACGAAGGCGACUGCCUGGCCCAAGACUGACGCUGAGGCACGAAAGCGUGGGUAGCAAACAGGAUUAGAUACCCUGGUAGUCCACGCCGU
rnacentral:rRNA from 1 species